rnacentral:rRNA from 1 species
AGAGUUUGAUCAUGGCUCAGAUUGAACGCUGGCGGCAUGCCUUACACAUGCAAGUCGAACGGUAACAGGUCUUCGGAUGCUGACGAGUGGCGAACGGGUGAGUAAUACAUCGGAACGUGCCCGAUCGUGGGGGAUAACGAGGCGAAAGCUUUGCUAAUACCGCAUACGAUCUACGGAUGAAAGCGGGGGAUCUUCGGACCUCGCGCGGACGGAGCGGCCGAUGGCAGAUUAGGUAGUUGGUGGGAUAAAAGCUUACCAAGCCGACGAUCUGUAGCUGGUCUGAGAGGAUGAUCAGCCACACUGGGACUGAGACACGGCCCAGACUCCUACGGGAGGCAGCAGUGGGGAAUUUUGGACAAUGGGCGAAAGCCUGAUCCAGCCAUGCCGCGUGCAGGAUGAAGGCCUUCGGGUUGUAAACUGCUUUUGUACGGAACGAAAAGCCUCUUUCUAAUAAAGAGGGGUCAUGACGGUACCGUAAGAAUAAGCACCGGCUAACUACGUGCCAGCAGCCGCGGUAAUACGUAGGGUGCAAGCGUUAAUCGGAAUUACUGGGCGUAAAGCGUGCGCAGGCGGUUUUGUAAGACAGAGGUGAAAUCCCCGGGCUCAACCUGGGAACUGCCUUUGUGACUGCAAGGCUGGAGUGCGGCAGAGGGGGAUGGAAUUCCGCGUGUAGCAGUGAAAUGCGUAAAUAUGCGGAGGAACACCGAUGGCGAAGGCAAUCCCCUGGGCCUGCACUGACGCUCAUGCACGAAAGCGUGGGGAGCAAACAGGAUUAGAUACCCCGGUA